CGAACGCUGGCGGCGUGCUUACCACAUGCAAGUCGAACGGAAAGGCCCUGCUUUUGUGGGGUGCUCGAGUGGCGAACGGGUGAGUAACACGUGAGUAACCUGCCCUUGACUUUGGGAUAACUUCAGGAAACUGGGGCUAAUACCGGAUAGGAGCUCCUGCUGCAUGGUGGGGGUUGGAAAGUUUCGGCGGUUGGGGAUGGACUCGCGGCUUAUCAGCUUGUUGGUGGGGUAGUGGCUUACCAAGGCUUUGACGGGUAGCCGGCCUGAGAGGGUGACCGGCCACAUUGGGACUGAGAUACGGCCCAGACUCCUACGGGAGGCAGCAGUGGGGAAUAUUGCACAAUGGGCGGAAGCCUGAUGCAGCAACGCCGCGUGCGGGAUGAAGGCCUUCGGGUUGUAAACCGCUUUCGCCUGUGACGAAGCGUGAGUGACGGUAAUGGGUAAAGAAGCACCGGCUAACUACGUG
rnacentral:rRNA from 1 species